UAUUCUUUAUUUUAUUUGUGCAUACAUAAUUCACAUCUGGCUUACAAUGCCACAACAGCUAGAGUAAGCAUUUUUCGACAUAGCUUGACAGUAGUUAGGCAUUAGUGGAUACUGCACAGUUUUAUAUAUAAUAACAUUGCUUAUCUAAGUGUUGUUCUGUGUUGCUGCAUAUAGAAGGUAAAGUACAAGAUUAAACAUAGCAGAGUAAUAUAAGUUUAGUGCUAUAGAGUAAGGUGUUCCUAUUGCAGGUUAUGCUAGGUGUACUGGUAGUUGCUUAAGAGAUUCUACAUGUGGAUUAUUAAGCUAU